rnacentral:lncRNA from 1 species
AUGGAACAUUCAAGUGAAGACAGCUCAGAGGGAAAUGUUUUCCAAAGAAAACCCAACCACACGUAUUCCAAGAAAGGACAUGAAGGUAUUAUUCCAAAAUCAGUUUCCAAAAGCUUGAAUUGCAGAUUUUGCAAAGCUGCUUUCUCUCAUCGAAGUAACCGCCGGAGACAUGAACGCUCCUGCACUUCCUCCCCUUCCUCCUCAAAUCAAGCCGUUGUCAAAGUGUGCAAUAUUUGCAAUGUAGGUUUUAGUACGCAACGGAAUUAUACAGACCACAAAAAAACAUGCAAUUUGAACCCAUCCUCUUACUCCGAAUGUGUUGAGCCUGGUUGUGCUAUAAAAUUCCAUACUCGCUCCCAAAUGGUAAAUCACUUAGAAAAAGAUCAUCUUCAUGAAGUAAAAUGCAAGGAGUUAACUUUUGAAGAUGAGGCUAGUUUCCAAAAAUGGAAGGGGAAUGAGGACAUGAACCAGUUCAUGUCAACUGUUAAGCAUACUGGUGAUUUAAAAACCAAUGAAGUCUCCUAUGUAUAUUAUGUAUGUAAUUUUGAUGUUCAAAAUCGAAAAGCACGAGUAAGACACAAAAUUCCUGGUUGUAAAUGCCCUGCCAGACUCUUGAUAAAAAUUGUGGGUGAGAAACAUUUUGUCAAGUAUAUAAAGAGCCACACCCACUCCCUUGAACCGUACAAUUUUCAAUUUCAUCAGCUCAAUGACCAAACUUUGGAUUACGUGAAAGCAUGUUUAAGUAAAGGAAUGUCACCAUGGAGUAUUUGGCGUGAGCUGGUGCCGCCAAAUGACGGCACAAAGAAUCGUUCUGAAAAAAACCACUUUAUCACAUUGCGUCAAAUCAAAAAGAUUCACGCCAACCUCAUACGUUCCACUCGACUUGAUAAUAAUGAUGCAGAAGCAGUUAAACUUUUGGCUAUGCAGAUGCACAAAGAUCAAGAUGGCGUCUUAGUUUACAAGCCCCAAGGCCAACCUACCCUUAUAGGAGAUAACAGCCUAGAUAAUAUUGAACAUUCUGAUACUCUUUUUGCAUUUGGUUUUCAAAAUCAACGUAUAAGAGAUGAAUUAAAGUUAGCCGAGUCUAAAAUUUUGUGUAUUGAUGCAACGCAUAAUACAAAUAAACAUAAAUUUUAUUUACUUAAUUUGAUUGUACCCGAUGAAUAUGGUGUUGGGUACCCGGUCGGUCAUUUCAUCACUAACAGUUUAGACACGGAAACCCUAACAUCAUUGUUCCAGAACAUCAAAAAUAAAUGUCCUAAUUUAGAGAUGGUUGCUCUCAUGACAGAUGAUGACAAUUGUACUUGGAAUGCUUUUAAAAAAGUGUUCGGUGAUAAAGCCAGGCAUUUAUUAUGUAAAUGGCAUGUUCAUAGAACAUGGCAGCGACAAUUAGUAGCUCACAUUAAAGAAGUAGGAUUGAGAAAUAAUGUGUACAGAGAUUUAGUGGUUCUAUUGGAAGAAAGGAACAGUGUUCACUUCCAUACCAUGUUGGAAACUUUUACAAGUAAAUAUUCUAAAUUACCUGGAAGUCAAAGUUUCAUUACAGAAUAUUUUCAGCCGUUUUAUUGUGAUAGAGUCAGUGAGUGGGCAAUGAGUUACCGAAACUUUCCGCACGGUGAAACAGAUACUAAUAUGUUUUGUGAAAGUUUCCACAGUGUCUUUAAACGAUAUUACUUAAAUAGAAAAGUGAACUUUAGAAUCGACGAUCUAAUUAAACACCUAGUUGACUAUGAGUACUAUAAGUAUCUUGAAUUGGAUAGGAAAAGAGUUUUUAGGAUACCUCAUAAAAGCUUAGAAAAUUCAGAUUUAAUAAAUAGACACGAUCGAGGUGUGAAAAUUAAAGAUGCCGAUGUUGUCAAGGACAAAGAUAUACCUAACCACUGGGUUGUCAAAUCUGUCAGUCGACAAAAUAGUGUAGAACAUACUGUCACUAAAUUUUCGGAAAAAUGCUUUCUACCUGAGUUUUGUUUCUUAAAAUGUCCGAAGAGGACCUGUCAAAAUCUGUGCUCUCACUUGUAUUAUUGCUCGUGUGAGGACAGACACGUUCUUUGUAAGCAUAUUCAUAAAGUACACACCUUGGAAGUCCAGGAGCUGGGAAUCGAUCUUCAAUUUAUACAAGAAGUAAAUGAAAGUAAUGAUCCGGUAGAAUUUUGUAUGUAUUCAUCACCCUCUGAACAGAAUCCUCCAUCUGAGGUCAGCGAGCAAAAUGAUUUAAAAAAACUUUGCUUUUCUUUAAAUGAAAAAAUUUCCUACUAUCUAGAAGAUAAAAAAGUUCAGAGCAGCCUCUUACCUCAUAUUCAUGGCAAGUUAAGUGAACUUCUUUCCGUAUGUAAAAGUGUUAGUGAAGGAUGUGCAACCUUCCCUUCAUCUCUUCCUUCUAUCUCUAUGGAUCAUCCACCCAUCCCUCCGAAUCAGAAGGAGACAAAACAGAAAUCCUUUUUUCAGACCAUUAAAAGAAGGAAAGUUGCUUCAAAAGUGCUUCAGUACCCAUCGCAUGAAGCACAGUUUUCUGCACAGCAACUUCUUCCAAAGUCGUGGCUCAGGGUUGAUAUGUAA